GUAAGAUUUGAUAUCUUUCAAGUUUUGCUCUUUAGGAUUUCUGAUUUUGUGUCUCUUCAUCUUCUUAACUCUAUGGGGCGUUAUUGUUCAUAUUUCAGGAUGGAGCACUCCUGAAGCUUUCAAAUAGAUAAAUGGAAAUAUUGAGUCCAUAUACAAUAUCUCAAGAAAUAAGGCACACAUCAAUGCCACCUUGAAAGUGGUGUUGAGGUGGAUCCACGAGCACAUUCAGAUGAUAUUUUAAACUUAUGAACCAACUAUCUUUAUGUGAUGAAAGCUAUCUUCAGCUAUAGGCCAAUGCCUACUGUCAAUUAUUUAGCAAAAAAUACCUCUCUGAAAAAGAUAGUCAUUUGAUUCAAGCUUUUUGUACUCUCAAUUGUUACUCAGAGUGAUAAUCUUGAGAAUUCUUUGUUCGUUACUUGUCCAUUUAUAAAUGCUUGUUAGGGAAUGUUGUUUUUAUCACAAAUACAUUUAUCUUAGAUAUAAUGAUAGAAUGAAGUGAUGC